GUCCUUUCAUAUUCACAAAGUAUUUUACUAAUAUCUCAUUUUAUUCUCAGAACGACCCUGGGAGGUAAGUGUUCUGAUUAUCCCCAUUUUACAAAUGAGGAAACUAAGACAAAGGGAGGGUAUGUGACUUGCCCAAGAUCACACAGCUAGUAAGUGACUGAGUUUGGAUUUUAACUAGGUCUUCCUGACUUCAGGUGCAGUGCUAAAUUGUCCAUGUUUAUGGGGGCGGGGGGGGGGGGGAGGAGGGAGGACUCUCCAAUAAUUAGUUCUGUGAUGUCAAAUAUCAUACUCAUACUGUAUUGGUUUUUCCCACAUUUGCAUACUGCCAAGUGGCAUUUGAAAGAAACUUUAGAUUAAAAGACCAAUUUCCUUAAUUAGAUUGGAAAAGUAUCAACUUUGACAUAAAUAAAGCUGCUGUCAUGCUUAUCUUGCCCAUAUCACCAAGAGAGAAGCUGUGCGCAGACGCAUUGAACAGGCACCCCCUGAUUCUCCUCCCAAAGGCAUGAACGUCAGUAAGACGGCAGAGUUAUCAUCAAUGACACAUCCCUUUGUGGUAACUAAUGGCAGCCAGGGAACCUGGAACCAAGACUAUGGAGGUAACACCUCGGGCAUUUCUACAGCUUUAAACCUCUUCUCUUCGGGUCUAGCCUCGCCUGCUACAACGGCGAGCAGAAUUUCAGCACUCCUCAUUCCCAGAUGAAGGGAACCACUGAAAAGACCUCCAUGACCAUGAAGACAGCAAAGACCACAGGACCGAUCAUCACUAAAAAACCUGUUUCUAUUACCCUGCAAACAAAAAGCUACCCCAAAAAUGAACAUCGGAGCUUGAGAGAUGCCCCAGCAGGAAUGGGAGUCGCUAGUCCAGAGGCUGUCAGGAACUCGACCAUCCAGGAUCUGCCCACACAUUCUGAGAUCAAUCUAACAUCCAGCCCGCAGAUACCAGCCCACGGUGAGCUCAUAGAUGCACCGACGAAGCCAGAAACCCCAAUCACUAUCACCACCUUAACUCCAAUCUCAGCAGCAUCACUGUUGAACAGCUCACCUAUCUUGGAAAGAGCUCCAUCUGCUCCCCCGGAGACAGAUUCCAAAACCACAUUGGUGACUGCCUCACCAAGCACUUCACAGGUUACAGAACGGAGUGUCCUUCAAAGCACCGCGAGACCUAAGACCGUCACAAUCCCAACUGGGAGCUCAGUCACCUCCUCCAACACCUCGGUUCAGUCAGCCAUCGAAAGUGAAUACAUCCGGCUGAAUGCUUCCCCCUUACGGCAGUACUGGGCCAAUCAGAACUUGCUCUUUGCUGCGCUAUUAAUUUGCGCCAUAUUUUUCAUCAGCGUCCUGGUUUUGUUGGCCAUGCAAGCCUAUGAGAGUUACAAGAGCGGAGAUUACACCCAAGUGAACUAUUUAAUUAAUGGAAUCCACGAAGCUCUCCUUAGGCAGCCUGGUAGCUCUCCACUCCCAGGAGCUCAUCACAUCAUUGCAGACACCUUCUGGCUUUAGUCCUACUGUAGCUCAGAACUCCUGAGCUCAAGCAAUCCAUCACUCUGCCUCCCCCAGUAGCAGCAAUUCUAAUUGUAUAACACCACACCCAUAUUGUACUCCAUUUCACAGUGUUUGUUCUUUUCCUUUGAAUUUCUCCUUUUGAUCAUGAAGCCAAAUAUGAAUUGAACAAAUUGAAUUAUUCCAUUUCUGUUCUUUGUCUUAUGUUAAUAUGGGGGGAGGGGGGGAAAGGAGGGAGAGAUGUCAGAAUGGAUAGAUUACUGGCCCAGCAGUUAGGGAGACCUGAAUUCAAGUCCUACCCCUCAUGCAUGUGUGACCCUGGGCAGCUCACCUGGUGCCCUCUGUGCCCAAGUCAACCUAGAUAAUUUUAUCACCAAAGAGUUCCCUGCAACAGUGAAAUAAGUAUGGUGCCUAUCCUUAUAUUAACAUUGUACAAGGGGACCCAUUACAGUUUCAAAGGAUUCAUCAUGAAACAUGUUAUCUACCUCCAAAUAAAGAAGAAAUGGACUCAGAGUGCA
ensembl:lncRNA